GGUUAAGCUACUAAGAGCACACGGUGGAUGCCUAGGCGCUAGGAGCCGAUGAAGGACGUGGCGAACAACGAUAAAGCCUCGGGGAGCUGUAAGCAAGCUGUGAUCCGGGGAUGUCCGAAUGGGGAAACCUAACUGGAUUCAUCUCCAGUUACUCACACCUGAAUACAUAGGGUGUGCAGAGGCAGACGAGGGGAACUGAAACAUCUAAGUACCCUCAGGAAAAGAAAACAAGAGUGAUUCCGUCAGUAGCGGCGAGCGAACGCGGAACAGCCCAAACCAAGAAGCUUGCUUCUUGGGGUUGUGGGACGUCUCUUUGGAGUUACAAAGGAAUGAGGUAGGCGAAGAGGUCUGGAAAGGCCCGCAAGACAAGGUGAAAGCCCUGUAGCUUAAAUCUCAUUCUCUCCGAGACGGAUCCCGAGUAGUGCGGGGCACGUGAAACCCCGUAUGAAUCUGCCAGGACCAUCUGGUAAGGCUAAAUACUCCCUAGCGACCGAUAGUGAAGCAGUACCGUGAGGGAAAGGUGAAAAGGACCCCGGAAGGGGAGUGAAAUAGAACCUGAAACCGUGUGCUUACAAAAAGUCAGAGCCCUAUGAAUGGGUGAUGGCGUGCCUUUUGUAGAAUGAACCGGCGAGUUACGUUCCCGUGCAAGGUUAAGGUGAAAAGCCGGAGCCGCAGCGAAAGCGAGUCUGAAUAGGGCGACUGAGUACGUGGACGUAGACCCGAAACCAGGUGAUCUACCCCUGUCCAGGGUGAAGGUACGGUAACACGUACUGGAGGCCCGAACCCACGCACGUUGAAAAGUGCGGGGAUGAGGUGGGGGUAGCGGAGAAAUUCCAAUCGAACCUGGAGAUAGCUGGUUCUCCCCGAAAUAGCUUUAGGGCUAGCCUCGGAAGUUGAGUCGUGGAGGUAGAGCACUGAUUGGAUGCGGGGCCCGCAAGGGUUACCAAGUUCAGUCAAACUCCGAAUGCCACAGACUUUAUUCCGGGAGUCAGACAGUGAGUGCUAAGAUCCAUUGUCGAAAGGGAAACAGCCCAGACCAUCAGCUAAGGUCCCCAAGUGUGUGUUAAGUGGGAAAGGAUGUGAAGUUGCACAGACAACCAGGAUGUUGGCUUAGAAGCAGCCACCAUUGAAAGAGUGCGUAAUAGCUCACUGGUCGAGUGACUUUGCGCCGAAAAUGUAACGGGGCUAAACACACCACCGAAGCUAUGGCUUGAUACUUUGUAUCAGGGGUAGGGGAGCGUUGAAUGAAGAUUGAAGGUGUACCGCAAGGAGCGCUGGACCUCAUUCAAGUGAGAAUGCCGGUAUGAGUAACGAAAAGAUCAGUGAGAAUCUGAUCCGCCGAAAACCCAAGGAUUCCUGAGGAAGGCUCGUCCUCUCAGGGUAAGUCGGGACCUAAGGCGAGGCCGAAAGGCGUAGUCGACGGACAACAGGUUGAAAUUCCUGUACCACCGAAAGCCGUUAUGAGCAAUGGGAUGACGCAGGAGGAUAGUGACGCGGACUGAUGGAUGUCCGUUCAAGCAGUGAGGCUGAUAUGUAGGCAAAUCCGCAUAUCACAAGGCCAGGCUGUGAUGAGGAGCGAAAAUUGUAGUAGCGAAGGUCAUGAUUUCACACUGCCAAGAAAAGUCUCUAGCCAGGAAGCAGGUGCCCGUACCGUAAACCGACACAGGUGGGUGAGAAGAGAAUUCUAAGGCGCGCGGAAGAACUCUCGUUAAGGAACUCGGCAAAAUGACCCCGUAACUUCGGGAGAAGGGGUGCCCCGGUAGUGUGAAUAGCACGAGGGGGCCGCAGUGAAAAGGCCCAAGCGACUGUUUAGCAAAAACACAGGUCUGUGCGAAGCCGCAAGGCGAAGUAUACGGGCUGACGCCUGCCCGGUGCUGGAAGGUUAAGGGGAGUGGUUAGCGCAAGCGAAGCUAUGAACCGAAGCCCCAGUAAACGGCGGCCGUAACUAUAACGGUCCUAAGGUAGCGAAAUUCCUUGUCAGGUAAAUUCUGACCCGCACGAAUGGCGUAACGAUUUGGGCGCUGUCUCAACGAGAGAUCCGGUGAAAUUUUAAUACCUGUGAAGAUGCAGGUUACCCGCGACAAGACGGAAAGACCCCAUGGAGCUUUACUGCAACUUGAUAUUGAACUGGGGUGCGAUUUGUACAGGAUAGGUGGGAGCCGUAGAAACCGGAGCGCAAGCUUCGGUUGAGGCGCCGUUGGGAUACCACCCUGAUCGCAUUUGAGUUCUAACCUCGUACCGUGAUCCGGUACAGGGACCGUGUCAGGUGGGCAGUUUGACUGGGGCGGUCGCCUCCUAAAGUGUAACGGAGGCGCCCUAAGGUUCCCUCAGAAUGGUUGGAAAUCAUUCGAAGAGUGUAAAGGCAUAAGGGAGCUUGACUGCGAGACAGACACGUCGAGCAGGGACGAAAGUCGGGCUUAGUGAUCCGGUGGUACCGCAUGGAAGGGCCAUCGCUCAACGGAUAAAAGCUACCCUGGGGAUAACAGGCUUAUCUCCCCCAAGAGUCCACAUCGACGGGGAGGUUUGGCACCUCGAUGUCGGCUCAUCGCAUCCUGGGGCUGAAGUAGGUCCCAAGGGUUGGGCUGUUCGCCCAUUAAAGCGGUACGCGAGCUGGGUUCAGAACGUCGUGAGACAGUUCGGUCCCUAUCUGUCGUGGGCGUAGGAAAUUUGAGAGGAGCUGUCCUUAGUACGAGAGGACCGGGAUGGACGCACCGCUGGUGUACCAGUUGUUCCGCCAGGAGCAUCGCUGGGUAGCUACGUGCGGAAGGGAUAAGCGCUGAAAGCAUCUAAGCGUGAAGCCCCCCUCAAGAUGAGAUUUCCCAGUAUGUAAGACCCCUUGUAGACGACGAGGUUGAUAGGUUGGGGGUGGAAGUGCCGCAAGGCAUGGAGCUGACCAAUACUAAUCGGUCGAGGGCUUAUCCAA
rnacentral:rRNA from 1 species